rnacentral:rRNA from 1 species
UACGGGGGGGCAAGUGCUCUUCGGAAUUACUGGGCGUAAAGCGUGCGCAGGCGGUUUUGUAAGCCAGAUGUGAAAUCCCCGGGCUCAACCUGGGAAUGGCAUUUGGGACUGCAAGGCUUGAGUGCGGCAGAGGAGACUGGAAUUCCUGGUGUAGCAGUGAAAUGCGUAGAUAUCAGGAGGAAUACCGAUGGCGAAGGCAGGUCUCUGGGCUGACACUGACGCUCACGCACGAAAGCGUGGGGAGCAAACAGG